UACGGAGAUAUUUUGGUAAAAUACUUGAGAAGAGAGGCAGAGAAAGGCAAGCCUCUUACCUUGAAAGAAGUGUUAGGGGCCUACAGCUUGGAUGUCAUUACGAGCACGGCAUUUGGUGUGAACGUCGAUUCCCUCAACAACCCAAAUGAUCCUUUUAUGGAAAAGAC